rnacentral:rRNA from 1 species
UAGGGAAUCUUCGGCAAUGGACGAAAGUCUGACCGAGCAACGCCGCGUGAGUGAAGAAGGUUUUCGGAUCGUAAAACUCUGUUGUUAGAGAAGAACAAGGACGUUAGUAACUGAACGUCCCCUGACGGUAUCUAAUCAGAAAGCCACGGCUAACUACGUGCCAGCAGCCGCGGUAAUACGUAGGUGGCAAGCGUUGUCCGGAUUUAUUGGACGUAAAGCGAGCGCAGGCGGUUUCUUAAGUCUGAUGUGAAAGCCCCCGGCUCAACCGGGGAGGGUCAUUGGAAACUGGGAGACUUGAGUGCAGAAGAGGAGAGUGGAAUUCCAUGUGUAGCGGUGAAAUGCGUAGAUAUAUGGAGGAACACCAGUGGCGAAGGCGGCUCUCUGGUCUGUAACUGACGCUGAGGCUCGAAAGCGUGGGGAGCAAACAGG